ACUGUUACCCGUGAUGGAGCCCCGCUUUCCUGGGGAUGGCAGAACACCUGCCUGCCAGUGGGAAGCGGUGAAUGAAUUCCUUGUUUUACUUUGCUUGUAUGCAUGGCAUUUGCUUCACCUAUUAAACUGUCUUUAUCUCAACCCACAAGUUUUCUCACUUUUACUCUUCCAAUUCUCUCCCUGAUCCUGCUGAUGGGGAAGUGAGCGAGUGGCUGCAUGGGGCUUAGUUGCCAGCUGGGGUUAAACUGUGACAGCCACAAAGCAGUGCUGUUGUUAUCACACUGCUUAUUUGCUGAAUGUGCUUUCCCUUAAGCUACUGUCUGAGAUCAUUUCAAGAUACUCUUCCAUGCUCUGAUGUAUUCAAAACUGCAGCGAGUUAAUUCAGUGCUCACCCCAGGCACCCCACACUGGGUGAUAGCCCCUGUAUCUCUGCGGUUCACACUGCCACUGAACCAAGUACAGAAACACCCCUGAGGAAUGACUGAUUAUUUAAACUAGUUUUUGGAUUGGCUUGCUUUUGUUUAAAGCAGAUGCUUAUUGGGAGGAACGAUUGGUCUCAGCAUGUAACUGACCUCAGAUUAAUUAAUAACCACUGUCUGGAACCCGACACUACAAGCGGGAAGCAGAAAACAAACAGUUUAAGCCAUCUGUGCUAACUUUUGCUUGAGAGCUUGGCUGCUCUUAUUAGAGGGUUUUGCCUUUUCCUGCGGCACACAGAAGGGAGAGGGGGAGUCCAUUAUAAAAAGGUUAGUUCCCACAGUGUGAUCCCCCAAAAGAGGGGAAAUAGGGGGAUGUGUUGUACCUCAGCCUCAAAAUUCUUAGUAAGUUUCUCUGUACCACUUCUACCACUGACAAGAUUUUAAUGGAUUUAUUUUUUGUUAAACCUUUUUUUCUCCCCCUAGAUUCAUCUUCUGUUUUACUAGUUUCUGAGGAAAGUAAAUACUCUUCCCUUCCAGUUUCAUUCCUUUCCUUUCUUGUGCUGACAUCUCUUGUGAUCAGUGGAAGCUGGUGGUGGUGAGAUACAGGCUGUUUAUGUGCUCUUUAAUUUGCUGUUACUGGAGAUGGUUGGGAACACUGUAGCAAACUAAUUUUGGAAAAUGAAGACUUACUGUAGUGGAAACACUUCAUAAAUACUGUUUCAGCUAAAAAGGUCAGGAAAUUAUUCUCAUGUGCGGAAUAUGUUUUCCUGAAAAAUGUGUGGAGAGCUGCUUACCCAGGACAUGCUGCCAGUCUGUACACAUCUUGCUAGCCUGCAGACAGGGCCAUUACUAUUGCCAUCUUGUCAAUCCUGGAAAAGAGAGAUGGGCUUGCUGUCUCCCACAUGUCGAUGUACAAGCAGAGCUGCCCUCCAGCAGCUUAAACCUUCCUGUGUAGUAUCCCGUGCUGCUAGCAAUGGUGGCAGUGGAGAUGGAGUAUGGACUUUGAUGUGUAGCUGGUAAUUAAUGUAUGCAUGCAGUCCUGGGAGAGCUUGUCCUCUGUCCCCCCAAACAUGCUGAUGGAUGUAUUAGGUACUUCCUGGCCUCAGCUGGGCAGAGGUACCACAUCCUUCUGUUGAACCUUCAUCCCUGUUUUAUGUGGAUUCCUAUGAUGGUGGCAUAGGUCUCGGACGUUUCAUCAAGAUCUGUAGCUUCAACGUAAGCUCCAUCUGCACUGGAGUCUGGUGCCUGAGAAGGUGAGUGACUGACACGCCUCUGGACUCCCGGUGUUAGUCAUAACAGCAGCAAAACUUUAGAGGUACAAGUCAAGGUUCUCUGUCAGCACAACACCCAAAGCACUGAGACCUCAACUUGGAUUCCCAAAGGUGUCCCUGUGAGACAGAACAGUUGUGGGGAAGCAAAUACUUGUUUCCAGAUGUGGAUGAUGUCAGUCCUCUGCUUGCAAAAGCCACGUGUACACGCCAUGGUCUUGGUGGGUUUCCUCUCAGAAGUGACCUGGCACUCCUGGAGCUGCAGAAACACAUCGAUCCAGACAGUUCAACAGGAACAAUCAGCUGCUGGCACACGGUGGAGAGGAACAAACACUGCUGCAAGAUCUUAACAGCAGGAGGGGGAGAGACAGGAGCUGACAGCCUGUGCUAUGGGAGACUCCUGGGGACAAAAUAUUGAAGAGACCAACUUCUGUGGGAGAGCUACAGGGGCAACUUUUAGCACAGUGUGUAACUGAGAGUGCGGGAAUGCACUGCAGACAACCACGACACAAAGCCAUGUCCCUCCCUGGCUUCCUGCAUGUGGAUGCUUUUGACACUGCUGACAGAAUAGCUCUUCACUGCAGGACAGCAGCUUUACCACACUCCAAAUGCUAUUCCUGAUUCAUCCUUUCAGAAAUAUCCAUGCACAAAUCCCACAGCACUGAUGUUUUUAUGCUUAAAGAGGGCACAGUAUUUCCUCACUUUCCUCCUCUGCUGCCACCACGUGGGCAUGUCUCAGUGUUCAUUUAAGUUUUUCACAGGACAAUAGCACUGCCUCCAUAGAUCACAAGUGAUCCUGUAUACUAAGGAGAAAUCCAGGAUACACAACUGUUUGGGAUUCCCAUAAUUUUCACCAUCAAAAUACUUGCUGC